rnacentral:misc_RNA from 1 species
CCGAGUUUACAACUCCCAAACCAUUGUGAAUCUUACCUUUUCGUUGCUUCGGCGGGCUCGCCCCGGGCGCCAUCGUGUGCCCCGGAACCAGGCGCCCGCCGGGGGACCUAAACCCUGUCGUUUAGUGGUAUUUCUGAGUGGAUUAGCAAAUAAUCA